CAAUGGCCAUGGAUGAGGAGAAGCCCGCCCAGGCCUCCUCUGCCUCCUCCGCCCCCCGCGGAUGGACCUCAGGCUUCCACAGGAUGGGCAAAGAACCCCCAGGAUCCUGGGCUUCCCAUCGGUCUGGCCGACCCAGCUGGAUGGACACUGGGACCAGGAUUAACAUCCCAGCAUGAGGAGAGCGAUCGACGCUGGGACAAGGAUUAACCAUCCCAUCCUGUGGAUCGACGCUGGGACAAGGAUCAACCAUCCCAUCCUGUGGAUUGAUGCUGGGACAAGGAUUAACAUCCAUCAGCUGGAUCAACACCUCCUUCUGCACAGGACGACGCCAACGGACAGGAACAGGACCAUGGCCAUGGAUGAGGAGAAGCCCGCCCAGGCCUCCUCUGCCUCCUCCGCCCCCCGCGGAUGGACCUCAGGCUUCCACAGGAUGGGCAAAGAACCCCCAGGAUCCUGGGCUUCCCAUCGGCCAGACCCACCCAGCUGGAUGGACACUGGGACCAGGAUUAACAUCCCAGCACGAGGACAGGGAUCGAUGCUGGGACAAGGAUUAACCAUCCUUUCCUGUGGAUAGAUGCUGGGACAAGGAUUAACCAUCCCAUCAUGGAUCGACGCUGGGACAAGGAUUAACAUCCCAUCAGCUGGACAAACACUGCCCCCUGGUAACCAUUUCUUUCUUCCUCCCUCCCUCCCUUCCUCCCUCCUUCUCUCCCUCUUCUUUCUUUCUUUCUUUCUUUCUUUCUUUCUUUCUUU